rnacentral:lncRNA from 1 species
GAAGGCUUCGUGGGGAAGGAAUCCGAGCUGAGCCUUGCUGCGUGGUGGGCAUUCUACAAAGACGGUGGGCAGCAGAGGGGCUGAGUGGAGCCAAGGCACAGAAGGUUAGGACGGGAGCUCAGCUGCUGCACAGGACCUGAGGGUGGGGCAGCGGUAAGGCAGACGAGUGCAGAGGACUUGGGUGCCGGCUCCGUCGUCAUGAGCAGAACAGCAGGGAAUCACGUAGGCGGCCAUUGUCGCAGCCAGGGCGGCAGCAUCUGUGUACGACUUGGCACCCAGAGGGACAUGGCCCAUGAAGGAGGCUGGGCAGGAGGCACUCAUGUGAAUCGGAGACACAUUCUGUUCGGGCUGUCCUUGGACCAGAGGCGAGGAAGCUCCCGUCAGGGUGGUGGAAACGUGGGUCUGAGGACCAGGACAGCUUUCCUGACAUCCGAUGCUUGGCUGCACGUAGCAGGAAAACUCAGCACGGGGCACAGCGCAGAGAGAUAAAGGACAACACAGAGACGCUGGGGGACAACUGCACAGAGGGGCCGGCGCUCUGGUACAGCGGGUAAAGCCGCCGCCUGCAGUGCUGGCAUCCCGUGCCCGGCGCCUGCUCCACUUCCCAUCCAGCUCCCCGCUGGUGUUUCUGGGAAGGCAGCAGAUGGCCCAGGUGUCUGGGCUCCUGCACCCACAUGGGAGGUCAGGAGGGAGCUGCAGGCUCUCGGCUUUGGCCUAGCCCAGCGCUGGCCAUUGCGGCCAUUUGGGGAGUGCACCCGUGGCUGGAAGACCUCUCUCUGUAACUCUGCCUUUGAAAUAAAUAAAUGCAUCUUUAAAAAAGUGUAGUCUGAACAGUCAGUCAGCGGGGAGAGGGAAGGCGAUGGGAGGAAGUGAAUUUCCAGGGACACAGCGCAAGGCUGCAAGGCACACACGGAGGCCGGAGGCCGCGGCCCAGCUCAGCCCCCACCCUUGUGCUGUGGGGUCACGGGAGAGGCAGAGUGCUUUUCUGGGGCGGGGGGACCUGUCAUUUCAGCGCAUCAACCCACGGCGAGUUCCCAUCGCCCGCCCCCAGGUUCCCUGGAGCGGCCCAGGCGACAGCUGUCAGUCUGUGCAGGCCGCAGGCUGGUGGGAUUCCUGCAACAGGGGUACAGAGAGAGCGGGGCAAGGCCCCAGGAGUGCCCAUCCACGUCCCCUCACUGUCCGGGGGCUUCCCCUCUGCUCACUACACCCCCACCCCCGGGGUGCCCGGGGCCUCGCCCUCCCCAGCCCUGCCCAGGUGUGCGGGGCCUCGUUCUCCUCAGCCCUGCCCGCGGUGCCCGGGGCCCUCUCGCUCUCCUCAGCCCUGCCCGCGGUGCCCGGGGCCCUCUCGCUCUCCUCAGCCCUGCCCGCGGUGCCCGGGGCCUCUCCCUCCUCAGCCCUGCCCGCGGUGUGCGGGGCUGGGUCUCUCCUCUCUCGUGCCCGCGGUGUGCGGGGCUGGGUCUCUCCUCAGCCCUGCGCAAGAUGUGCGGCCCUGCCCGGGGUGCCCGGGGCCCUCUCGCUCUCCUCACCCCUGCCCAGGGUGCCCGGGGCCUCGCCCUCCCCAGCUCUACCCAGGUGUGUGGAGCGGGGUCUCUCCUCGCUUGUGCCCCAGGUGUGCGGGGUCUCGCUCUCCUCAGCCCUGCCCGCGGUGCCCGGGGCCCUCUCGCUCUCCUCAGCCCUGCCCGCGGUGCCCGGGGCCCUCUCGCUCUCCUCAGCCCUGCCCGCGGUGUGCGGGGCUGGGUCUCUCCUCGCUCGUGCCCGCGGUGUGCGGGGCUGGGUCUCUCCUCAGCCCUGCCCGCGGUGCCCGGGGCCUCUCCCUCCUCAGCCCUGCCCGCGGUGCCCGGGGCCUCUCCCUCCUCAGCCCUGCCCGCGGUGCCCGGGGCCCUCUCGCUCUCCUCGCCUCCGCCCCAGCCGUGCGGCACCGGCGCGGGGACAGCCGCCGCAGCCUGCCCACCCCGGGGAGACGUCCUCCUCAGGGGCGCGAGCCCAGACGGCUCCCAGGGCUGACCAAGGGCAGGGGCAGGGGGAGGAGCCCGCUCGGCUCGCCCAGGCCCGGCGGCCGCAGCGGCCGGCGACCAGCGAGCAGUGCACGCCGGGACGGGUUGUCAGCCGCCCGCCAGUCCGCCGCGCCGGAGCGGCCGCCCCGCCUCGGUCCGCCCCGCCUCGGACCACGUCGCCCUUUCCCCGAA